AAAAAAAACCCAAACCAACAUUCCUUGGAAAAGCUGAACAAAAUGAGUGAGAACUACACCCGUCGUCGUUCUCAUCGGUAACUGAGGUCC
rnacentral:snoRNA from 1 species